rnacentral:rRNA from 1 species
CCUUUGAUGACGACUGGCGCACGGGUGAGUAACGCGUAUCCAACCUUCCCAUAACUACGGGAUAACCCGUUGAAAGACGGCCUAAUACCGUAUGAUAUCGUUUGCUGACAUCAAAUAACGAUUAAAGGUUUAGCGGUUAUGGAUGGGGAUGCGUCUGAUUAGCUUGUUGGCGGGGUAACGGCCCACCAAGGCAACGAUCAGUAGGGGUUCUGAGAGGAAGGUCCCCCACAUUGGAACUGAGACACGGUCCAAACUCCUACGGGAGGCAGCAGUC